UACGUAGGGUGCGAGCGUUGUCCGGAAUUAUUGGGCGUAAAGAGCUCGUAGGCGGUCUGUCGCGUCGGUCGUGAAAACUUGGGGCUUAACCCUGAGCUUGCGGUCGAUACGGGCAUGACUGGAGUUCGGUAGGGGAGACUGGAAUUCCUGGUGUAGCGGUGAAAUGCGCAGAUAUCAGGAGGAACACCGGUGGCGAAGGCGGGUCUCUGGGACGGUACUGACGCUGAGACGCGAAAGCGUGGGGAGCGAUCCGG
rnacentral:rRNA from 1 species